CCUACGGGAGGCAGCAGUAGGGAAUCUUCCACAAUGGGCGAAAGCCUGAUGGAGCAACGCCGCGUGAGUGAUGAAGGCCUUCGGGUUGUAAAACUCUGUCAUUCGGGACGAACCGGAGUCUGAGGAAAUGCAGACUCUCUGACGGUACCGGAGGAGGAAGCCCCGGCUAACUACGUGCCAGCAGCCGCGGUAAUACGUAGGGGGCAAGCGUUGUCCGGAUUCACUGGGCGUAAAGCGCGCGCAGGCGGUGAUGUAAGUCUGAGGUGAAAACCCGAAGCUCAACUUCGGGACUGCCUUGGAUACUGCGUCACUUGAGGAUAGGAGAGGCAAGGGGAAUUCCACGUGUAGCGGUGAAAUGCGUAGAGAUGUGGAGGAACACCUGUGGCGAAGGCGCCUUGCUGGCCUAUUUCUGACGCUGAGGCGCGAAAGCGUGGGGAGCAAACAGGAUUAGAUACCCUGGUAGUCCACGCUGUAAACGAUGAGUGCUAGGUGUAGGUGGGCUCAUACCCAUCUGUGCCGAAGCUAACGCAUUAAGCACUCCGCCCUGGGGAGGUACGGUCGCGAGACGUAGAACGUACAAUAGAAGUUAGACGGCGNGAGGACGUUGCCGACGGACGACGACGAGGGAGGAGG
rnacentral:rRNA from 1 species